GAAGUAGCUCAGCUUGGUAGAGCACUUGGUUUGGGACCAAGGGGUCGCAGGUUCGAAUCCUGUCUUCC
rnacentral:tRNA from 50 species